UACGUAGGGACCAAGCGUUGUUCGGAUUUACUGGGCGUAAAGGGCGCGUAGGCGGCCUAGCAAGUCACUUGUGAAAUCUCCGGGCUUAACUCGGAACUGCCAAGUGAAACUGCUGGGCUAGAGUGCAGAAGGGGCAAUCGGAAUUCUUGGUGUAGCGGUGAAAUGCGUAGAUAUCAAGAGGAACACCUGAGGUGAAGACGGGUUGCUGGGCUGACACUGACGCUGAGUGCGCGAAAGCCAGGGGAGCAAACGGG
rnacentral:rRNA from 2 species